rnacentral:rRNA from 1 species
AUUGAACGCUGGCGGCAGGCCUAACACAUGCAAGUCGAACGAGUGGCGGACGGGUGAGUAAUGUCUGGGAAUCUGCCCGAUGGAGGGGGAUAACUCCUGGAAACGGUGGCUAAUACCGCAUACUAUCCGAUGCACCCAUAUGGGAUUAGCUAGUUGGUGGGGUAAAGGCUCACCUAGGCGACGAUCCCUAGCUGGUCUGAGAGGAUGAUCAGCCACACUGGGACUGAGACACGGCCCAGACGCCUACGGGAGGCAGCAGUGGGGAAUAUUGCACAAUGGGCGCAAGCCUGAUGCAGCCAUGCCGCGUGUAUGAAGAAGGCCUUCGGGUUGUAAAGUACUUUCAGCGGGGAGGCGUUACCCGCAGAAGAAGCACCGGCUAACUCCGUGCCAGCAGCCGCGGUAAUAC